CCCAGACUCCUACGGGAGGCAGCAGUGAGGAAUAUUGGUCAAUGGCCGGAAGGCUGAACCAGCCAAGCCGCGUGAAGGACGAAGGUGCCAAGCAUUGUAAACUUCUUUUGUCAAGGGACAAAAUCAGGCUCGAGAGCCUGACCGAGGGUACUUGAAGAAAAAGCAUCGGCUAACUCCGUGCCAGCAGCCGCGGUAAUACGGAGGAUGCGAGCGUUAUCCGGAUUUAUUGGGUUUAAAGGGAGCGUAGAUGGGUUGUUAAGUCAGUUGUGAAAGUUUGCGGCUCAACCGUAAAAUUGCAAUUGAUACUGGCAGCCUUGAGUACAGUUGAGGUAGGCGGAAUUCGUGGUGUAGCGGUGAAAUGCUUAGAUAUCACGAAGAACUCCGAUUGCGAAGGCAGCAUACCGGCGCCCAACUGACGCUGAAGCACGAAAGCGUGGGUAUCGAACAGGAUUAGAUACCCUCGUA
rnacentral:rRNA from 1 species